GUGAGGAAUUUUCCGCAAUGGGCGAAAGCCUGACGGAGCGACGCCGUGUGUGGGAUGACGUUUUUCGGAAUGUAAACCACUGUCAGGGGGGAAGAUAUUGACGGUACCCCCAGAGGAAGGCCCGGCUAACUACGUGCCAGCAGCCGCGGUAAUACGUAGGGGCCAAGCGUUGUCCGGAAUCAUUGGGCGUAAAGGGCGUGCAGGCGGUUCGGUAAGUCGGAUGUUAAAUCUACAGGCUCAACCUGUAGCCGCAUCCGAUACUACCGAACUAGAGAGUGGUAGAGGAAAGCGGAACUUCCGGUGUAGCGGUGAAAUGCGUAGAUAUCGGAAGGAACACCAGUGGCGAAGGCGGCUUUCUGGGCCAUUUCUGACGCUGAGACGCGAAAGCCAGGGGAGCAAACGGGAUUAGAUACCCGAGUAGUCC
rnacentral:rRNA from 1 species